rnacentral:tRNA from 1 species
UUGGCUAAAGCCAAAGAGAGGCGUAUCAUUGUUACUGAUUUAAAUGGAAAACCUAGUCGUU